rnacentral:rRNA from 1 species
CUUGACAUCCUUUGACAACUCUAGAGAUAGAGCCUUCCCCUUCGGGGGACAAAGUGACAGGUGGUGCAUGGUUGUCGUCAGCUCGUGUCGUGAGAUGUUGGGUUAAGUCCCGCAACGAGCGCAACCCUUAAGCUUAGUUGCCAUCAUUAAGUUGGGCACUCUAAGUUGACUGCCGGUGACAAACCGGAGGAAGGUGGGGAUGACGUCAAAUCAUCAUGCCCCUUAUGAUUUGGGCUACACACGUGCUACAAUGGACAAUACAAAGGGUAGCGAAACCGCGAGGUCAAGCAAAUCCCAUAAAGUUGUUCUCAGUUCGGAUUGUAGUCUGCAACUCGACUACAUGAAGCUGGAAUCGCUAGUAAUCGUAGAUCAGCAUGCUACGGUGAAUACGUUCCCGGGUCUUGUACACACCGCCCGUCACACCACGAGAGUUUGUAACACCCGAAGCCGGUGGAGUAACCUUUUAGGAGCUAGCCGUCGAAGGUGGGACAAAUGAUUGGGGUGAAGUCGUAACAAGGUAGCCGUAUCGGAAGGUGCGGCUGGAUCACCUCCUUUCUAAGGA